UAAAUAUUGUUGGGUAGGGGAGCGUUCUGUAAGCCUGUGAAGGUGUACUGUGAGGUAUGCUGGAGGUAUCAGAAGUGCGAAUGCUGACAUAAGUAACGAUAAUGCGGGUGAAAAACCCGCACGCCGGAAGACCAAGGGUUCCUGUCCAACGUUAAUCGGGGCAGGGUGAGUCGACCCCUAAGGCGAGGCAGAAAUGCGUAGUCGAUGGGAAACGGGUUAAUAUUCCCGUACUGGUGAUAAUUGCGAUGGGGGGACGGAGAAGGUUAGGCUGGCCGGGCGACGGUUGUCCCGGUUUAAGGAUGUAGGCAGGUGAAUUAGGCAAAUCCGGUUCACUAUAUGCUGAGGUCUGAUGACGAGUCACUACGGUGGCGAAGUAGCUCAUACCCCGCUUCCAGGAAAAGCCUCUAAGCUCUAGAUUAUCAUUAAUCGUACCCCAAACCGACACAGGUGGUCAGGUAGAGAAUACUCAGGCGCUUGAGAGAACUCGGGUGAAGGAACUAGGCAAAAUGGUGCCGUAAC
rnacentral:rRNA from 1 species